rnacentral:tRNA from 1 species
GGAGGGGUGGCCGAGCGGACGAAGGCACCGGUCUCGAAAACCGGCGUACCGGUAACCCCGGUACCGUGGGUUCGAAUCCCACCCCCUCCGCCA